GACGAACGCUGGCGGCGUGCUUAACACAUGCAAGUCGAACGGUAAGGCCCUUCGGGGUACACGAGUGGCGAACGAGUGAGUAACACGUGGGUGAUCUGCCCUGCACUUCGGGAUAAGCCUGGAAAACUGGGUCUAAUACCGGAUAGGACCACUGCCUGCAUGGGUGGGGGUGGAAAGCUUUUGCGGUGUGGGAUGGGCCCGCGGCCUAUCAGCUUGUUGGGGGGGUGAUGGCCAACCAGGGCGACGACGGGUAGCCGGCCUGAGAGGGUGACCGGCCACACUGGGACUGAGAUACGGCCAAGACUCCUACGGGAGGCAGCAGUGGGGAAUAUUGCACAAUGGGCGCAAGCCUGAUGCAGCGACGCCGCGUGAGGGAUGACGGCCUUCGGGUUGUAAACCUCUUUCAGCACCGACGAAGCGCAAGUGACGGUAGGUGCAGAAGAAGGACCGGCCAACUACGUGCCAGCAGCCGCCGUAA
rnacentral:rRNA from 1 species